GUGAGGAAUAUUGGUCAAUGGGCGAGAGCCUGAACCAGCCAAGUAGCGUGCAGGAUGACGGCCCUAUGGGUUGUAAACUGCUUUUACACGGGGAUAAAGUGUGCGACGUGUCGUUCAUUGCAGGUACCGUGCGAAUAAGGACCGGCUAAUUCCGUGCCAGCAGCCGCGGUAAUACGGAAGGUCCGGGCGUUAUCCGGAUUUAUUGGGUUUAAAGGGAGCGUAGGCCGUCUGUUAAGCGUGUUGUGAAAUGUAGAUGCUCAACAUCUGAAUUGCAGCGCGAACUGACCGACUUGAGUGCGCAGGAAGUAGGCGGAAUUCGUGGUGUAGCGGUGAAAUGCUUAGAUAUCACGAAGAACUCCGAUUGCGAAGGCAGGUUACUACUUGUGGAUUGACGCUGAUGGACGAAAGCGUGGGGAGCGAACAGGAUUAGAUACCCCGGUAGUCC
rnacentral:rRNA from 1 species